UACGGGGGGGGCAAGCGUUGUUCGGAAUUACUGGGCGUAAAGGACUCGUAGGUUGCCAACUAAGUCAGACGUGAAAUCCCUCGGCUUAACCGGGGAACUGCGUCUGAUACUGGAUGGCUCGAGUUUGGGAGAGGGAUGCGGAAUUCCAGGUGUAGCGGUGAAAUGCGUAGAUAUCUGGAGGAACACCGGUGGCGAAGGCGGCAUCCUGGACCAACACUGACACUGAGGAGCGAAAGCCAGGGGAGCAAACGGG
rnacentral:rRNA from 1 species